AUUGAACGCUGGCGGAAUGCUUUACACAUGCAAGUCGAACGGCAGCACGGGGGCAACCCUGGUGGCGAGUGGCGAACGGGUGAGUAAUACAUCGGAACGUGCCCAGUCGUGGGGGAUAACGUAGCGAAAGUUACGCUAAUACCGCAUACGAUCUACGGAUGAAAGCGGGGGACCGUAAGGCCUCGCGCGAUUGGAGCGGCCGAUGUCAGAUUAGGUAGUUGGUGGGGUAAAGGCUCACCAAGCCGACGAUCUGUAGCUGGCCUGAGAGGACGACCAGCCACACUGGGACUGAGACACGGCCCAGACUCCUACGGGAGGCAGCAGUGGGGAAGUUUGGACAAUGGGCGCAAGCCUGAUCCAGCCAUUCCGCGUGCAGGACGAAGGCCUUCGGGUUGUAAACUGCUUUUGUACGGAACGAAAAGGCUCUGGUUAAUACCUGGGGCUCAUGACGGUACCGUAAGAAUAAGCACCGGCUAACUACGUGCCAGCCGCCGCAGUAA
rnacentral:rRNA from 1 species